rnacentral:rRNA from 1 species
UACGUAGGGUGCGAGCGUUGUCCGGAAUUACUGGGCGUAAAGAGCUCGUAGGUGGUUUGUCGCGUUGUCCGUGAAAACUCACAACUCAAUUGUGGGCGUGCGGGCGAUACGGGCAGACUGGAGUACUGCAGGGGAGACUGGAAUUCCUGGUGUAGCGGUGAAAUGCGCAGAUAUCAGGAGGAACACCGGUGGCGAAGGCGGUUCUCUGGGCCUGUACUGACGCUGAGGAACGAAAGCGUGGGGGAGCGAACAGG